UGAAGUGUCGCCAAAUGGUAAAGGCAUUGAACUUUGACUUCAAUAUUUGUAGGUUCAAUUCCUACCACUUCAG
rnacentral:tRNA from 1 species